rnacentral:misc_RNA from 1 species
AGGCAAGGCACUUCCACUUCAAUUAUCAUAAUGAUAAGUACACCAAAACAGAUCGAGAAACUGGUGGUGAGCAAUCCCCAUUUUCAAAUGCGGAGAGCAAUCCUCUUCAGAGAGGUCAAAAAGAGGUGAAUACCGAGAGCCCAAAUGAACUGAAGCAACAGAGGAAAUAUGAUGAUUGGAUGGGAGGGGGUCCAACAGAUGAACUGUUCCAAAAUUCCAUUUGCUCAAUUUGCAAGAACAGGAGACCAAGGAUUGGAUGGAAAAGAGACUUCACCUAUGCAGAACUCCAUGCUGCCACUGAGGGAUUUUCCCCCAAGAACUUCUUAUCUGAAGGUGGUUUUGGUUUUGUCUACAGAGGAGAGCUUGGUGGGUUGAAGAUAGCUGUAAAGCAAUACAAAAGUGCUAGCUUCCAAGGAGAGAAGGAAUUCAAGUCUGAAGUUAAUGUACUCAGCAAGGCUAGAAAUGAGAAUUUGGUGAUGUUGUUGGGUUCAUGUUCUGAAGGAAGUCACAGGCUGCUUGUUUAUGAAUAUGUCUGCAAUGGUUCAUUGGACCAACAUCUAUCAAGUAAGAACACAAUAUCUCAGAAUCUAAUUCAUCAUCACAAUCCUAAUCUAAGAGCUAUUUU